UUAGAUACCCGGGUAGUCCCAGCUGUAAACGAUGCAGACUCGGUGAUGCAUUGGCUUGUGGCCAAUGCAGUGCCGCAGGGAAGCCGUUAAGUCUGCCGCCUGGGAAGUACGUACGCAAGUAUGAAACUUAAAGGAAUUGGCGGGGGAGCACCACAAGGGGUGAAGCCUGCGGUUCAAUUGGAGUCAACGCCAGAAAUCUUACCUGGGGAGACAGCAGAAUGAAGGUCAAGCUGAAGACUUUACCAGACACGCUGAGAGGUGGUGCAUGGCCGUCGCCAGCUCGUGCCGUGAGAUGUCCUGUUAAGUCAGGUAACGAGCGAGACCCCUGCGUCUAGUUGCUACCAUUACUCUCUGGAGCAGUGGAGCGAAUUAGACGGACCGCCACAGUUAAUGUGGAGGAAGGAAGGGGCCACGGCAGGUCAGUAUGCCCCGAAACCCUAGGGCUACACGCGGGCUGCAAUGGUAUUGACAAUGUGUUCCGAAUCCGAAAGGAGGAGGCAAUCAUCAAACAAUAUCUCAGUUAUGACUGAGGGCUGUAACUCGCCCUCACGAAUAUGGAAUCCCUAGUAACCGCGCGUCACUACCGCGCGGUGAAUACGUCCCUGCUCCUUGCACACACCGCCCGUCGUUUCAUCGAAAUUGACCUUUAGUGAGGUAGUGUCCAUUUGGCAUUAUCGAGCUUGAGGCCAGUAACGAGGGAAAAGUCGUAACAAGGUGACCGUAGGGGAACCUGCGGUCG
rnacentral:rRNA from 1 species